rnacentral:rRNA from 1 species
GAUGAACGCUAGCGAUAGGCUUAACACAUGCAAGUCGAGGGGCAGCAUGGUCUUAGCUUGCUAAGACUGAUGGCGACCGGCGCACGGGUGCGUAACGCGUAUGCAACUUGCCUCACAGAGGGGGAUAACCCGUCGAAAGACGGACUAAUACCGCGUACACUUGGGAUAGGGCAUCCUGACCCAAGGAAAUGAAAUUCGCUGUGAGAUAGGCAUGCGUCCCAUUAGCUAGUUGGUGAGGUAACGGCUCACCAAGGCGACGAUGGGUAGGGGAACUGAGAGGUUGAACCCCCGCACUGGUACUGAGACACAGACCAGAAUCCGACGGGAGGCAGCAGAGAAGAAUAUUAGUCAAUGAGCGAGAGCCUGAACCAGCCAAGUCGCGUAAAGGAUGACUGUCUUAUGGAUUGUAAACUUCUUUUAUACGGGAAUAACAAGAGUCACGUGUGGCUCCCUGCAUGUACCGUAUGAAUAAGCAUCGGCUAACUCCGUG